rfam:Drosophila sechellia strain Rob3c scaffold_2809 genomic scaffold, whole genome shotgun sequence.
CAACCUCAACUCAUAUGGGACUACCCCCUGAAUUUAAGCAUAUUAAUUAGGGGAGGAAAAGAAACUAACAAGGAUUUUCUUAGUAGCGGCGAGCGAAAAGAAAACAGUUCAGCACUAAGUCACUUUGUCUAUAUGGCAAAUGUGAGAUGCAGUGUAUGGAGCGUCAAUAUUCUAGUAUGAGAAAUUAAUGAUUUAAGUCCUUCUUAAAUGAGGCCAUUUACCCAUAGAGGGUGCCAGGCCCGUAUAACGUUAAUGAUUGCUAGAUGAUGUUUCCAAAGAGUCGUGUUGCUUGAUAGUGCAGCACUAAGUGGGUGGUAAACUCCAUCUAAAACUAAAUAUAACCAUGAGACCGAUAGUAAACAAGUACCGUGAGGGAAAGUUGAAAAGAACUCUGAAUAGAGAGUUAAACAGUACGUGAAACUGCUUAGAGGUUAAGCCCGAUGAACCUGAAUAUCCGUUAUGGAAAAUUCAUCAUUAAAAUUGUAAUAUUUAAAUAAUAUUAUUAAGAAUAAUGUGCAUUUUUUCCAUAUAAGGACAUUGUAAUCUAUUAGCAUAUCCCAAAUUUAUCAUAAAAUAUAACUUAUAGUUUAUUCCAAUUAAAUUGCUUGCAUUUUAACACAGAAUAAAUGUUAUUAAUUUGAUAAAGUGCUGAUAGAUUUAUAUUAUUACAGAGCGUUAAUUUUUCGGAAUUAUAUAAUGGCAUAAUUAUCAUUGAUUUUUGUGUUUAUUAUAUGCUCUUGUAUGAUUAACAAUGCGAAAGAUUCAGGAUACCUUCGGGACCCGUCUUGAAACACGGACCAAGGAGUCUAACAUAUGUGCAAGUUAUUGGGAUGUAAUAGCGUAAUUAACUUGACUAAUAAUGGGAUUAGUUUUUUAGCUAUUUAUAGCUAAUUAACACAAUCCCGGGGCGUUCUAUAUAGUUAUGUAUAAUGUAUAUUUAUAUUAUUUAUGCCUCUAACUGGAACGUACCUUGAGCAUAUAUGCUGUGACCCGAAAGAUGGUGAACUAUACUUGAUCAGGUUGAAGUCAGGGGAAACCCUGAUGGAAGACCGAAACAGUUCUGACGUGCAAAUCGAUUGUCAGAAUUGAGUAUAGGGGCGAAAGACCAAUCGAACCAUCUAGUAGCUGGUUCCUUCCGAAGUUUCCCUCAGGAUAGCUGGUGCAUUUUAAUAUUAUAUAAAAUAAUCUUAUCUGGUAAAGCGAAUGAUUAGAGGCCUUAGGGUCGAAACGAUCUUAACCUAUUCUCAAACUUUAAAUGGGUAAGAACCUUAACUUUCUUGAUAUGAAGUUCAAGGUUAUGAUAUAAUGUGCCCAGUGGGCCACUUUUGGUAAGCAGAACUGGCGCUGUGGGAUGAACCAAACGUAAUGUUACGGUGCCCAAAUUAACAACUCAUGCAGAUACCAUGAAAGGCGUUGGUUGCUUAAAACAGCAGGACGGUGAUCAUGGAAGUCGAAAUCCGCUAAGGAGUGUGUAACAACUCACCUGCCGAAGCAACUAGCCCUUAAAAUGGAUGGCGCUUAAGUUGUAUACCUAUACAUUACCGCUAAAGUAGAUGAUUUAUAUUACUUGUGAUAUAAAUUUUGAAACUUUAGUGAGUAGGAAGGUACAAUGGUAUGCGUAGAAGUGUUUGGCGUAAGCCUGCAUGGAGCUGCCAUUGGUACAGAUCUUGGUGGUAGUAGCAAAUAAUCGAAUGAGACCUUGGAGGACUGAAGUGGAGAAGGGUUUCGUGUGAACAGUGGUUGAUCACGAGUUAGUCGGUCCUAAGUUCAAGGCGAAAGCCGAAAAUUUUCAAGUAAAACAAAAAUGCCUAACUAUAUAAACAAAGCGAAUAUAAUACACUUGAAUAAUUUUGAACGAAAGGGAAUACGGUUCCAAUUCCGUAACCUGUUGAGUAUCCGUUUGUUAUUAAAUAUGGGCCUCGUGCUCAUCCUGGCAACAGGAACGACCAUAAAGAAGCCGUCGAGAGAUAUCGGAAGAGUUUUCUUUUCUGUUUUAUAGCCGUACUACCAUGGAAGUCUUUCGCAGAGAGAUAUGGUAGAUGGGCUAGAAGAGCAUGACAUAUACUGUUGUGUCGAUAUUUUCUCCUCGGACCUUGAAAAUUUAUGGUGGGGACACGCAAACUUCUCAACAGGCCGUACCAAUAUCCCGCAGCUGGUCUCCAAGGUGAAGAGUCUCUAGUCGAUAGAAUAAUGUAGGUAAGGGAAGUCGGCAAAUUAGAUCCGUAACUUCGGGAUAAGGAUUGGCUCUGAAGAUUGAGAUAGUCGGGCUUGAUUGGGAAACAAUAACAUGGUUUAUGUGCUCGUUCUGGGUAAAUAGAGUUUCUAGCAUUUAUGUUAGUUACUUGUUCCCCGGAUAGUUUAGUUACGUAGCCAAUUGUGGAACUUUCUUGCUAAAAUUUUUAAGAAUACUAUUUGGGUUAAACCAAUUAGUUCUUAUCAAUUAUAACGAUUAUCAAUUAACAAUCAAUUCAGAACUGGCACGGACUUGGGGAAUCCGACUGUCUAAUUAAAACAAAGCAUUGUGAUGGCCCUAGCGGGUGUUGACACAAUGUGAUUUCUGCCCAGUGCUCUGAAUGUCAAAGUGAAGAAAUUCAAGUAAGCGCGGGUCAACGGCGGGAGUAACUAUGACUCUCUUAAGGUAGCCAAAUGCCUCGUCAUCUAAUUAGUGACGCGCAUGAAUGGAUUAACGAGAUUCCUACUGUCCCUAUCUACUAUCUAGCGAAACCACAGCCAAGGGAACGGGCUUGGAAUAAUUAGCGGGGAAAGAAGACCCUUUUGAGCUUGACUCUAAUCUGGCAGUGUAAGGAGACAUAAGAGGUGUAGAAUAAGUGGGAGAUAUUAGACCUCGGUUUGGUAUCGUCAAUGAAAUACCACUACUCUUAUUGUUUCCUUACUUACUUGAUUAAAUGGAACGUGUAUCAUUUCCUAGCCA